AAAGAUCAGAAUGGGGAGAUUCAUCGUCAACAACGCUGGCUCCCGUUGGUGCGCGAUGCCCCGGAAGGACCUUCGGGUUCCAUUAGCGAGGGCACACCACCUUCGGCGAAUGUUCCGGCGAGGUAGUCGUGCACUUCUCCCCUAGUAGAACGUCGCGACCCGUUGCGUGUCGGUCUACGGUCCGAGGCGGAGCCUGUCCGUCACCUUAACGGUGUUCGUGACAGACCCUCGGUUGCCUGGCCGACUGCGCGACGGUACUCAGACGGUAUCAGGCCGCAACCAAUCCAUUUUCGAAUGUGUGUGCGUCAGGACCGCCGCAAGCUAGGUUCAGUUAUAAUUACCCGGAUGUACGGACUAUGCGCCGUCCCCGGGUCUGGCCAGCUGUUAGCAGGAGGAGUCCUUGGACUGGCCAAGCUUUGAAUUACCGGUCGGCGACGCUAUUGCUUUGGGUACUCUCAGGACCCGUCUUGAAACACGGACCAAGGAGUCUAACAUGUGCGCGAGUCAUUGGGAUAUAAAUAAACCUAAAGGCGAAAUGAAAGUGAAUGUCGUCCUCUGCGUCGACCUAGGGAGGAUGGGCCUCGUUACGAUUAGGCCUCGCACUCCCGGGGCGUCUCGUUCUCAUUGCGAGAAGAGGCGCACCUAGAGCGUACACGUUGGGACCCGAAA
rnacentral:rRNA from 1 species